rnacentral:rRNA from 1 species
UACAGAGGGUGCAAGCGUUGUUCGGAAUUACUGGGCGUAAAGGGCGCGUAGGCGGUCAGACCAAGUCGAGUGUGAAAUUCCAGGGCUUAACUCUGGCACGCUCGCUCGAUACUGGUCGGCUAGAGUGUGGAAGAGGAUGCUGGAAUUCCCGGUGUAGCGGUGAAAUGCGUAGAUAUCAGGAAGAACACCCGUGGCGAAGGCGGCUCUCUGGAACGCAACUGACGCUGAGACGCGAAAGCGUGGGGAGCAAACAGG